rnacentral:lncRNA from 1 species
GGUGCUCCUGAAUUGGAGGAAGAUUCUAAACAGAACUUUACAGAAACAAUGAAAACUGUCGUUUCUCUCCCCAAUCUCAUGUAUCCCAUUGACAUUGUUUACCGCGAAAGUUGACCUACAAAUUAUCUGAUUAUAGCCUCAGAUUAUUAAAAGCAUUGCAUGUUGGUGUGUGAAUGAUCUACACUACAGCAAACAUCAUUAGGUUUACAUUUAACAAAUACGGAUUUUAAAUUAGUAUACAAAUACUGUGAAUGAUUU